UUCUCUCCAUCUCUUGUUCGUCUUGGUGCUUUUAACGAUUGAGGUGCUUUUCCUUGUUUACUUCAACCAUGUCUAUUGUUUGAAGAGUCUUUUGUGUGUUCCUUGAAGUGUGUUUUGUGAAGUUUUAUUGGUGUUAUUUAGGCAAACUUGAUGACCGGUAUUGGUCCGGGUUUAAGCUGAUUUCAUAGCUGGUGCGUUGAGUUCAUUUGGGUAUCUAUUGGUGCCGUAGCUGGCGCUUCCUUUUCUUGGUCUCGACUACCAAUUAAUAGUGGUGAAGAUUAAAAAGCAGUAUAGUUGCAUAUUGAUCUGAUUCCAGUCCAUAAAUACCAAAUCCUACAGUCUAUAAGCACAAGAUCCUCAGUCCCUAAAUACCAAAUACCUUCAAGGGAUUUCCACAUCAUCAAAAAAAGCUUCCAAAAUCUGCACUGGAACAAUCUAGGCAACAAUCUGAAAAAUUCAAGAGUCACUCCGAGGCUUGGGGAAGGUUGCAACAAGAUUGGAAAAAAGGGAAUUCUCAGCUAGGAACCACAUAAUUCGGUUGAAUCUCGCUUUCUGAUCUUCUAUUCCUUCGACAUGCUUCGAACUCAGACCUUGUGUGUUCAUGGAAGGGCCAGCGGCGUAUUGAAAGGACUCCAUCUGUGUAAAUGCUUCCAAGGGGAUCCACCAUUGAAAACUCAAAAUCAAGAGACUGAUUGGCCUGAAUUCCCUACCCUACCCUACCUUACCCUGGGGGGAAGACGUCCUCCUCCUGUCGAUCGACUGCCUGAGUACUCCUUGAUUCAAAGGGUAAUUAUUUGCAAUUAUAGGUGGUGACUGAGUUGGACAGAACCCGGAUAAUCUCAGUGGGUGCUCGAAGUUAUGAAUGUAGUUUAGAGGUUUUCCAACCAAUGACAGAAAUCUGUUUUAGGGUUUGGUUUUUAUUUUAUAGACGAUUGAUGUUGUAUAAAUAAGUCUUACUAUGAUACUUAAAAUACAAAUAAGAAUUUG